CUUAUGUGCGGCGGGCUGGGGCUGUGGCUGUUGUGGUUGAGGGACUGAGUGUGCUGUCAGGGCGCGCCGCUGCUAAAACACCUCUUCCCAGGGAUAUUAAUUGCAGCCGCUCCUCGUUAAAGCCUGAGGUUCCAGGAAUACCUCGUUCUUGCUCUGAAAGGCACUAAUUUUCUUUAAAACAACCCAUCUUGAACAUUUCUGAGCACAUAUUGCCAGAAAAGUUAAAAUCUGGCCUCGGGAAAGCAUACUGGGAGCAGCAGAGGUGUGGCAAGGUCUGAGAAAUUGUCACACUAAAGUCGGAACCCUGACAGAGAUGAGCUAUGCAUGGCCACAUCCUUGAGGGCCUGUUACUGGACAUUAAUCAUCUGUUCACCUUUGUGGUAACAUCAAGAGCUCUGAAGAUGUUGAGAAGACACCUUGUUAAUAAAAUUUUAACUAAGGUUAAAUUGAAACCUGAAGGCAAAUUAGCUUGGGGGUAAGCUCUGAACAUCACCUUCUCCAGCUCUACACUUUUUCAUCUUUCUGAUGAAGCGGGAAUGAGUCAUGUUUGACCUCAGGAGCCAGGCAAAAGCUUUCAGUGUGAGAUUUCACUUGACUUUUCUCCCCGGCAGAUAAUUUGCAAUCCUUUUUUUUACCUCUGUGCGCAACAUUCAUGGGAAUCUGUCAUGGUUUGACAUGACAUUCUUUUCUGGUAAGGGAGAAGGGGCUGUAAAGAUGGCUUCUGUAAGGAAGUUGCUCAAAACUCUCCCCAGCUCUGAGCCAGACCCACUUCUGAGGCUGAGCCAAUUAGACACCUCCUUGAUCAUUUUUUAAGAAGAAACUGGAAGAGGAGGGUUCUUCCUGCUUCUUCAUUUUUCUGGUCCUUCUCCAGAUGGUGGUGGUGCAAGGAGUGAGAGGAGAAACAACCAUGUGGACUCAAGGUCAGUGAGGAAAACCAGGAAAGUGUGCUGGAGCAGAGACUCCCCUGCAUUCUGAGGAGAGGACUGGUAAAGCUGAGAUUUGUUUGCAUUUUGCUAAAGACUCCACAUCAAGGGCAGAGUUUGCUAAACAAGACCCCGCAUCAGGGACAGUGACUCAUUUUGUUAAAGACCCCAAGCCAGGGGCAGUGAUUCUCUUCAUUAUAAACCCUGUGUCAGGGGCAGUGACUAUGACCAGAGGAGGCCGUAUCCUGUGGGGAGUGACCCAAUAUCCACAGCUGUAACUGUGGGGAAAAACCCACACCAAAGCAGCUCAUUAAAAUUAUGCCCAGAAGAGGUUAUGUCCCAAGAGAUAGACCCUGUAUCUGCAGAAGCUGCAACUGUGGAGAAGAAUCCAUGCCAGAGAUAUUCACCAAGGACUGUGUCCCUUGUGAGGGACCCUGUAUCGGCAGAAGCCUCAGCUGCUGGGAAGAGCCAACAGCAGAGAAGUUCGUUAAGUACUGUGUCCCAGAGGAGGGACCCUGUAUCAGAGCAGGAGCAGGAUGCCAGGAGUCAUCCUUAUCUGAGAAGAGAGAAGCGGCAGAGCCCAUCUGUGAGAGACUGACCACAGGCCCCAUUCCCUGAGCCAUUGAGAGGGGAGGAGGUAGAGAUAUCAGGAGCAGUGAGUUAGGCCCAGGAAGAAAGGAGGGAUAGGGGAGGGAGAUCUUAAAGUGCUGGUUGUAAUUUUCUCAGUCAUACUACUUACUACCUUUUUUACUUUUUGUUCUGUUUCUUGUAGGUAGUAGAAUAAACUUUCCUACUUUCUAAGUCAAGUACUGGAGUCUGUUUUGCCAAUCAUAAUUGGCAGUGAGCCCUACCUGCCUUUGUCUCAAUCCACAACAACCUUGCUUAUCUUUUCUUCUCCCAUUUUGCUGGG